GCACCAGCUGGUGAGCGAGGCGCAGGGCUGCCUGGGCCACGCGCUGCGCCUGCGCUCGGCGUACCCGCACGGCUCGCCACGCGUCACCGGCGUCACCACCAAGCAGGGACGCUGGACCACAGUCGACUACAUAUUUCAUAGCGUGGCGCCACUGCCAGGCGCCUCGGGUCUGCGGCUGCUCUCGCGCCUGGCGCUGCCUACGGCCAGCCUCUGCCAGCAGCUGCGGCCGUAUCCCAGCGAGGCGCUGCCCUCCGACCACCUGCCGCUGGCCGCCCAGUUCCGGCUGUGCCCACCCGCUACCUGGUGGUCCGACCCCACCAGCUGACCGGGCCCGGGCGCCGGCCAACACCGGUAGUCUGGAGCGGCCGCUGGCUGGAGGCUGUGGCCUGUAGUUAACGCAGGGGAUGGGACUGAGACGUGCAGGGGGAUGGGACUGUCCGCCGACCCAGGUUUCAGACGAAGUCGGCGGUAGGAUCCACGCCCGCUCCUCCGUGCUGGAUGGUGCAGGAGCAGGCGAGCAGAUCACCUCCGGCUGGUGCCGCCACGCGCACCGGGGCGGGAGUGGGCCGCCUGGCCGACACGUGCCGGCCAGUGUGGCUGCGUGAUACAGCCGCGCCCUUGUACAAACGCUCGGUCCCGACGUUCGUGGAUUGAGUGUGUUGCCAAAUGACAAACUGCUGGCACGUCGCUGUGCGGCGUGUCGCUUGGCGUGCGCUCAUUAAUACAUAACUUACGGCGCG
rnacentral:lncRNA from 1 species